GUUCUGAACACGUGUUUAAUAAAGAAAGUAAAAAAAAACAAAAAACAAAAAAAAGCCUCAUGUCACAUGACAUCCACUCCCUCGCUCUGCAGCGGGGCGCCACGCGCUAGCACCUGGCAAAGCUAAUUGAUGUGACGUGUUACCUUGCAAGCAAGAGCUAGCAUUUAGCUCUCCAUGCUCUCAUGGAAGUGAUGUUGAGCUGUUGCAUGUAUUGGCAGAAAAAGCUCCUCAGCUGUGAUUUGGUGGAUUAUACUGUUCACAAACAGUCCAGGGAAUGACGUCUGUAGAGCUGCUGACUUGUUUGACUGACAGCGACCUGCAGGAGUCUGUACUUAAGGCCGCAAAACCUUUUUAAAAAGUUGGUCUUCACUAAAGUUCCCACCGCAUCCGUGGAGAGGACCUUUUCAGUUAAAGACCUACAGCCAACAGAAUGGACCAGGCUUUCCUCCUUGGUUCAUACUUCUACUGAAAAGGAAAGACUUAUGAAACUUUGGAAUACACCUACAAGGAAGACUUCUAUACAACUUGACACCUUCGUCCAGGGGGAUAGACGCAUGGAUCUUCAUCUACUGACAAAGGAAGUGCCUCCUUAACCUCAAUAGAAGCUUCCAAUGGGACCACGGCGAGAGGGAAGGAAGUUUUCCCGUGGUAUCACACAAGAGACUAGUCUUCCACGGGAGGAAAAAUGAAGCGAAUAAAUAAAGAGAAAAUCGAAUUCCUUCAGCCGUUGCGGGAGUGCCAGCCAAUGAAUCAGCAGAAUAAAUUCUCUCCAGAGAUAAACAAACAUGAUAUUUCAGCUGGGAGCUACGGGGACGGAGGGGCCCGCUGUCGCUCUCGUAAAGUUCAGGGCGCUCCGGACCGUAAAAAGGAGCCGCCUUCUCAAUCAGGAAAGCCUCUGGCAGGGAGGCCUUUACAGCUGGAGCUGUGUGAUGAAAACGCACAGGAAGCCUCGCGCACACAUGCCCUCGAGCAGGACUUUAACACCGCAGAUAUAUAGCCUCAUAUAGAAAGCCAUUAAAGUGGGAUUUUGGAGCACAAGUGUCUCCCAACACACUGUCAACACACUAAGUGCUCAUGGGCUUGAUUUACACGACUGUGUGCGACACUGUACCUCAAUGCUGUAACAAUAAAACAUUGCUACCUGAUUGGAGGGACAUGCAAAAUAAACCUUGAACUAUGAACCUUU